UGAAUCAGGUCACAGUGAAGAAUAAAUAUCCGUUGCCUCGGAUCGAUGAUUUAUUUGAUCAGUUGAGGGGUGCCUCUGUUUUCUCCAAGAUUGAUUUGAGAUCGGGGUAUCAUCAGUUGCGGAUCCGAGAGGGGGACAUAGCCAAGACUGCUUUUCGGUCACGAUAUGGUCAUUAUGAAUUUGUGGUGAUGCCUUUUGGACUUACUAAUGCACCCGCGGCGUUCAUGGAUCUCAUGAAUAGGGUGUUUAGUCCAUAUCUUGAUCGUUUCGUGAUCGUAUUCAUAGAUGAUAUCUUGGUUUACUCAAGAAGUGAGAAGGAGCAUGCCAAGCAUCUAAGAAUAAUAUUGCGGACUUUGGAAAAGUCGCAGUUAUUUGCUAAGUUUAGCAAGUGUGAGUUUUGGCUUGAUAAAGUUCGACCGUCUAAAUUACGUAUUUUGGCCGGACCUUCAACUGAAAAUAGUUUUAAAUCGAUGACACGCAACAAGUCGUAUAAAAAUUUUACGCAAAAUAACCACCGAAUAUAGGGCUACUCAUAGGGGGAAAGAAUGAAAAAUUGUAUUGACCGCAACUAUCGGCACCGAAUAUUUACCGGAAUAGUGUGAUUUUUCAACCGUGGAUGUAUUUCAACAUUCUCGUCAUAUCUUAUUUCAUGACUUUUUUGCAUUUGAAAGUUUUACGUAUAGUUUGUUUUUGAAACAAAACAUUUACAUAACAUUUGGUAAACAAGUUAUACAACAUUAGUAUGCAUGUUGUGAUUGUGAUGAUCAAACUUGAGAAACAGAAAUCCGACCGUCAGAUAUGACCCUCCUGACAAAAUACAUGUAUGGGAAAAAAUUCAACUUGAUCCGAAAAGAAUAAGGGCUCGAUUCGGACGGUCAAUCUCCUAAGUCAAACCCCUAAACGCACGGAAAAGGUCGUUCGACCGUCUAAAUUACGUAUUUUGGCCGGACCUCCAACUGAAAAUAGUUUCAAACCGAUGAGACGCAAGAAGUCGUCUAAAAAUUUUAUGGAAAAUAACCACCGAAGAUAGGGCUAUAGUAGGUAAUAGAAAAAUUUUAGGGUUUAGCCGACGAAUACCCUAACGUAUUCGUCGGCUAUAGUAUGUAAUUAAAAA
rnacentral:lncRNA from 1 species